AGAAAGGGAUGCACCACAUCGCAGUUAGCCCUCGCCUGGGUACACCACCAGGGUGAUGAUGUUUGCCUGAUUCCCGGCACGACCAAGAUCGAGAAUUUCAACUAGAACAUUGGAGCUCUGUCAGUGAAGCUUACACCGGAAGAGAUGGCCGAGCUUGAAUCGAUUGCUUCUGCAGACAGUGUCAAGGGUGGCAGGUACGAUGGAAGCAUGUCUACAUGGGAAAACUCCGACACUCCACCCCUUUCUUAAUAAAAUUAUGUGUUUUUCUAGUAAGGGAUGUUGCGAAAACUUUAUUGUCUUUUGCAUGCGUAAUUAUAACUAUGAGUGUAACUAUGCGUAAUUACAACAUGUGGCGUCACACAAUCCUCAGCACUUGAAUUGGGGUCUAUCAAGGUAGUGCUUGAGUCUAUGAUGCUCAAGCUCUAUUCAAUAGCACUUAGGCUCGGGUCCGCAAAGAUUGUGCAUCAGUCCUCAAUGCUUGAGGUCGGCUCGUUAGUUAAUAAAACGUUUGUUCUUAUAAAAAUAAUUAUUUUUAAAAAAUCUAUUUUUUUAUAUUAUUUGUUUUCUUUCUUUUUAUUUUCCUUCUUCUCGGCUAGUUGCCAACCAUGGCGCCGAUUGCGCCUGAUAACAAGCACCGGAUGAGCUAGCCCAAGGCCAAGAAGACUUGAGAUUGCUGAUUUGGCAAGCUUGAAGCUGGUCAAGUGCAAGCUCGAGUUUCGCCCCGUGGCUAGUCGCCAACUACCACCGUGGCUAGCGUUCGGUCGAGGAAGAAGAAAAAGAAAAAUAAGUAAAAAUCUGAAUAUUUUGUAAUCUUCUAUAGGGAAAUCAAAUAAGAUUUUUCAUAUUAAACGAUAAAAAAUAUUUUCUAGUUUAUUUUUAAGACUUAACCAAAUAUUGAAAAUGACUUUUUGUAAAAUAUUAUUCAAAUAUGUCAUAUUUUUUGCGAAACAAACGGUACAUAAAUUUAAAUUUGAUAAUUGUCCUUGUUAAUUUGGUACACAUUAUCUGUCUCUUUGUUUUGUUGCUGAACUGAUGCUAAUCUCUAGAUGAAGCUUGACUAGUUUCAAUAGGCGGCUUGACUUUUGCGCUUCCUUUUUUUUAAAACCCAAAACACUCAAAACUUUCGUGAUACACGACUUUCGACAUGCAGAGUUACAAUCACUUCAAAUAAUUUAUCUGAAAAUUGUAUAGUGGGCCAUCCGAGAAAGGUGAGGGCAACUUGUCCCCCUAGAAAUUGUCAUGACGUGGAACUCUUGACAUGAAUUGAAGUGACUUUUGUUAAGAGUUAACUAGUCAAGAUCGGGCCACAUCUGUCCAUUCAUGUCCGCCACAUCCGGCCCCUCCAAUCGGACUCCCCGGCGAAAAGAUUCACGGACACGUGGCUGGAUCUAGAAAGUCACGGGUUUGACUUGUCUUUUGUGUCACUAUCAAGAAUGUGCAUGGUCCGGACGGGCGAUUCCCGACCUAGAAUCGGGAACUGCUUGCUAAGGACCGAUUCCAAAACAUUGAAACGGAGAUCCACCAGUUAGUUGAAUGAAUCCACUUGGGAACCAGAUCGCUGAUUCAGUCCGAUUUCUAGGUGGAUCUAUGGAACCGAUCUUGACGCUAAAUAAUUUUAUUUUCAAUAUAGAACGACUACGUGAUUUCCAUAACAACAGCUGGAGAGGUUGUAGAAGGAUAUCAUGGUAGGCACUUACGAUAAUCGUGAGGAAAUGAUAGCAAUUUUGGUUAAACUUGUUUUCUAUCAUGGCUAUCAUGGGUCGAAUAAAAUUUUGCAAGCAAAUUUCGUGUCCUAGGCAUUUUUUUUCUCUUAGGUGUGAUGCUUUAAAAACCCUCUAUGUGAUGCUUAGGAACCUUUGUUUGUGAUGAAGCCUAAAGAUUUAUUCCUUGUUGUGGACUUGUUGUCCUACAUCAAAAUCUCUCAGUCAAACUUUUUUGCUUUGUUUUGGUAAGUCUGUAUAAGGUAUAUUACAGAAGUUGCAUUACGAGAUAUUUCUUCCUUAUUGUCUUUUUAGUUUAACUAAGGCCAAAUUGUUUUGGCAUUUUUCCAAGCAUUUCAUUAUGGAAUGAUGAUAAGAAGCGAUCUUGACUUAAUGCUUUUAGUUAUUUGAUUUGGAUUUAUUAAUUAGUAAUUUCAUUUUUUAAUAUUAAAAAUUAAUAUAUUAUUUUAAUAUAAUCGGUUCGGUCUAGGUGGGCGGGUAGAUAGAUCCGCUCAUGGAACUGGGAACCAGACUGGUACUCACCGGUUCCCAUAAAUUGGAAUCGAGAACCGGACCGGUUCCCUUAAAAACUACCGGUUCUGGGCGGUCCAAGCGGGUUUCGGUUAUUUUGCACAAAGAAUUAAAAAUUCAAUUUUUUUUAAAAAUAUUUUAAAAAGAAUUAUAAAAAUUUUCAUUAAAUUUGUAUUGCAUAAAAAUGUUUUAACAAUACUUUUUUUUAAAUAAAAAAAUCAUAAAAACGAGCUUUUUAAGGGUUAAUUAUUUUUUUUAUGUUAUUGUUUUUAGUUAUUCAAAGGUAUGUUUACUUCAAAUAAGGGAAGCAUGUGCAUAGUUUAAUUCUUUAUAAAUAUUUAAAUGUUUUUUUAAACUUUUCUUAUUUUAUUUUAUUUUCUAUUUUUAAUUUAAUUUGAAGAUUUAAUCUAAUUAGCAUAUAAUAGAAGUGGAUUUUCCUAAAAUAUUAAGAGGUUUUAGCAAUACGAGUUGGAUCGGGUAUGUGUCGGGUAUAUAUGAAUAUGGAUCAGAAUAAGUUAAAUAGAUCAAAUAUGAGUUCAUUCGUUUUCGACCGGACUCAAAUCCGGCUUGAUCCGGUUUCGACCCAACCCAAAUCCGACUCGAUCCACUCAUUUAACGGGUCUAGAUUGAAUUGACGUAAGCACGUGCGUCUUCGUAGCUACUGCCGCUCCCCUCCUAUAAAUCUCGGCUCGCCCGACAUCUUAGCCAUCGUCACGGUGCAGUGCAGGGAACGAGCGAGCUCGAGCUAGACGACGGCAAUGGCAGCGUCGACGACGACGGUGGGGAGGAUCAAGCUGGGGUCGCAGGGCAUGGAGGUGUCGGCGCAGGGGCUGGGCUGCAUGGGCAUGUCCAUCGGCUACGGCCCUCCCAAGCCCGACCCCGACAUGAUCGCCCUCAUCCACCACGCCGUCGGCUCCGGCGUCACCUUCCUCGACACCUCCGACAUCUACGGCCCCCACACCAACGAAAUCCUCCUCGGAAAGGUCGGUUCUCUCAGUCUCUCUUUUGCCUCCGCAUGAAUCAUACGUGCUUAUAGUGUUACGGAAUUCAGCUUCAUCGAGCAGGAUGCUCCGAUCCUGCGCCUUGGUUUUCUGAUUUCGGGGUUGAUUUUGAGCAGGCACUGAAGGGAGGGGUGAGGCAGAAGGUGGAAUUGGCGACCAAGUUCGGAGUCAGCUUCGCGGACGGGAAGAGGGAGAUCCGGGGCGAUCCGGCGUACGUGAGGGCUGCUUGCGAGGCCAGCUUGAGGCGGCUCCACAUCGAUUGCAUUGACCUCUACUACCAACAUCGCAUCGACACUCGCGUCCCCAUCGAAGUCACUGUAUGGAUCCCACAUCAAACCUUUACCUCUCUCGGGACUUUCUCCGAGUGAUCAGUUGCUAAAUUAGAAUGGUGUUGAUGAUGCAUCAUCAUCAAGAUAUCGUUAAAUGUGACUUGAGUUCAGAUGAUAGCAGAGUUCAAGAUGUGGCACGGUGUUGUUCAAGGGAUUGCGGAAUUUAGUAGUUUAUAUGGCUUGAGUUUUUGUUUUAUGGGUCAACAAGCAUGAAAAUUAUUCGAAAUCCAGGGUUCACCCUGAUUUAUAUCUGAGAAUCACAUUUGAAGUUGUUCCUGGACUUUCUGCGCAGACAUUUGGUUCUUGACUUGUCAUUGUGAAAUAUGACAAGUACUUGGAAUACUUCUUUAAUUUGCCUUCUUCUGUGAUAGAUUAGAGAGAUCCAUUUCCGUUAACGAUACCUUGCCAUUUUCUUGUUGCAUUGAGAUGCAUAAAGAUUGACUAUUUUUUGCUAGGAGCUACCUAAUCAAAUUGUAAUGUUUGAGAAGUCAGGGAACACAAACUAUUCAGGCAUCAGGACACAAGAAAAACUAAUGAUGUUCAAUAACUUCUGGAUCUUAACACGUAAGAUUUUGACGAUUGUUGUUUUGUCAUGUGAAUAUGCACAGGUUGGAGAGCUAAAGAAGCUCGUUGAAGAGGGUAAGAUAAAGUACAUCGGUUUAUCCGAGGCCUCUGCAUCAACAAUCAGAAGAGCACAUGCUGUUCAUCCCAUCACAGCAGUGCAAUUGGAGUGGUCGCUUUGGUCAAGAGAUGUGGAGGCAGAGAUCAUUCCCACGUGCAGGUAGGAUAUCACUGUUUAUUUGUUUAUGCAGUAACAACAUCUUUCUUCUGACUCUGCUCUUCCUUAAAAUGUUGACUAGGGAGCUUGGCAUUGGAAUUGUUGCCUACAGUCCUCUUGGACGAGGAUUCUUUUCUGUUGGCUCCAAGUUGGUGGAGAAUCUCUCUAAGGAUGACUUCAGACAGGUCUGUUUCUGCUGGUUAACAUAAUUAGAUGCUCACAGUUACUGUCAUUCCCAUUGAAGUGCUGGAAACCUGUUCUUAUUCUAUAAAGAAAAAGUUUGUGACACGAAUGCUUCAUAUUCUUAUUCGAUCCAGCACUUGCCAGUCAUCCCACCUCUCGUGAUUCUAGAUAAAUUUAAAAAUCACAAGUAAUGGCUUUAAUGAGCCUGAAAGGGGCAGUUUUCUGGAUUCUCGUGCUUUUGGGAAUGAACAAAUAUAGGUUUAUUUGUAAGUUGCUCCGUUUCCCAGCUUUCCCACCAUUUGCUUAUCACUAUCCUUUCCCCACUUUCCACCCGCCCUUUUUCUCUCAUAUCUCUUCACAAGAUUAGCAAUAUUUGCUCAAAAUAACCGAGACCAGUAUCGGGCCUUGGCCUCCGUCCUUUUUGUUUCUCAUCUUUCUUCACAAGAUAAAUUAUAUCUUGACACAACCAUUUCUUGAGCGAGGACUCCCUAACACCCUUCUUAUGAGAGUGUUGGGAUCAAGUUCCCAUCUGACAUAAAGCCAAUUGUGUAUUACUCCUGGCCAUUAGUGUUUGAGUAGCGAUAGUGCUGGGCAAGUGAAGUAGCUAUUUUUCUUUGUAGCUAAAUGAGCUUUGCGUCUGAUAACAUUCUUCUACACGUCAUCUACCUUUUGUGAUUUUUUUUUCUUAUGUGUGACUAAUGUUACCAUCACACGUACAAAACUUAGAUUGUCUAGUUUGUUUCUGUUUUCACUUCCUACAUCAAACCCAUCAGCCUUGUGUGGUAGUUGCUAGAUCACUUCGCUCGACGUUUCUAGUUCUUAUGAUUUGGGGCUAGGUAUUUUAAUCAUUUCAAGAUAAUCAUAACUGAUCAUGCUUUUCCAGGUACACAACAAUUGUGCACUUCUAAAUGCUUAUUAGGUCAAGUAACAAGGCAAUCUGUUGGCAUGCAAUGCGAUCACUUUUGCACCUUGCUGCUGUAGAAUUUGGCCUUAAAAGGAAAAUGAUAGUUGCUCAUAUGCUUUCUGCUGAGACAUUGCUCUAUGUUAUGCAGAACCAACCAAGGUUCCAGCCAGAGAACUUGGCUCACAACAUGAAGUUAUUUGACCGAGUGAAUGAAAUUGCGCAAAGAAAGGGAUGCACCACAUCGCAGUUAGCCCUUGCCUGGGUACACUACCAGGGUGAUGAUGUUUGCCCGAUUCCCGGCACGACCAAGAUCGAGAAUUUCAACCAGAACAUUGGAGCUCUGUCAGUGAAGCUUACACCGGAAGAGAUGGCUGAGCUCGAAUCAAUUGCUUCUGCAGACAAUGUCAAGGGUGGCAGGUACAAUGGAAACCUCUCUCCAUGGGAAAACUCCGACACUCCACCCCUUUCUUCUUGGAAACCUGCCUAGAAACAUGUCUACUUCUGUUGCUGCGUCUUUGAUAUGCAGAGUUUGUGCAUUUGCCGCUGAAGUAAUUUGAGGCUAUGUUGUGUGGCUGUUAUAAGUACGUGUAAUAAGAGAGUGACUGUUUUCGUUUUGUACAUGUGACAUUCACUAUGAGAAGAUUAUGGAUAUGUUCUAAGCUUACUGGGGAAAGAUCACCCGCUAACACGAGAGCAAGUUUUUUAUGAACCGAGCUUGCCGUGCCGACUUUAUCGGGGUGACUUUUAGAAUAUGAGAAAUUGGGAUUUUGAAGAAUUCAAACUCAGUCAUACAUACUAGAGUGAUGCUUUAUUCUCCUCCAACUAGUCUUGGUCCAGUUUCCAGAGAGAUUAGGUCGAUCCUUGGUCCUAGAAUUUCAGGACUAGCACUGUGCGGGUCGAUUCUUAGUCCUAAGAGUUCUAGGUCGGUCCAAUCCAAACCAACCUUAUAUAUAUAUAUAUAUAUUAUUUAUAAUUUUUUUAUAUAGAGAAAACCUUAAAACAAACGGCGUCAAUAACAUUAAAGAGUUAUUUAGUAAAGAGUUCAAGUAAUUUUACAUUGUUCUUUAAUAUUUUAGAUUUUUAAUGUCUUUUACGAUAUUAAUAGUCAUAAUUUACGAAGGAGGAAAUUGUUUUUGUAAGGAGUCCUCAUGAUAUCUAAAAAGGUAUAAAUGGCAUCAUUCUUUAGUAUUCGUUCUCUUUGGUUUUAUUCGUUCUCUUAAUUAUCAAUUUGCCAAAAUUGAAAGAAGCAAUCGCUCACUUUGGGUCACUCCUGCCGCUCGCCGCUUAAUGCUCGCUUGGCUUGUUGCUCCAUGCUCGAUAUUCGAUAUUUAUUCUGUUCGACGCUCACCCCACUUGACUCUCGUUGCUUGCCUUUUUUAGUUGACCUUGCUCAUCAUCGAAUCCAUUAGGUCAAUAUGGUCCUCAGUUGCUUUUUCAAGGAUUACAAAAAAUGAAAUAAAAAAUUAUUAAUUAGUCCUAAGUUGACCUUGAAACCAGACCGAACCCAUUGGGUCCGUUUGAUCUUCAAUCGCUUUUUUAAGGUGUACAAAAAAUGAAAUAAAAAAUUAUUGGUUGGUCCCGGGUUGACCCUAGAACUGGACCGAACCCAUUGGAUCAGUUCGGUCAUUGGUCCUAAGCUUAAUAGGGUUGGUUCUCGGUCCAAAAAACUGAGGACCAGCAUUGUGUGAGUUGGUCAUAGGGUUAGGGGGUGAACCGGCCCAACCUGGACCAUACUCACUCCUACCUCUAACCAUGAGUUCAAUACUAGCACCAUGUGCAACAUACUCUUAGGACUGGAUGCUACACAUAGAUACAACGCUUCGCUUUGUGUUUGGUUUCGUAGCGAAGUAAAGGAACAGUAAAAUGCUAUUGGAUGUUCUCGCGAAAAUGAAGUUUGGGAUAAAAUGUUGGCGCGGUUGAUAUGAGUGUCGAGGAAAUCGAAGGUUUCUUGUUCAAGUUUAACCACCUACGGUUCAUGAGCUUUUAUGUAGCUCAAUACCUUCGCUCAUGCCUCUGCAUUAUUAUAAAACAGUCGGAGAUAUUGCGCAAGUUUCCUAAAAUUAAAAACAACAAUUCUAUUGUUUUUUAUUUGGAGUUAGAGUGGAGCAAUGUCGUUUUGUUUUGAUUUAGGAAAAUAACGCAAAUAGUCAUUGAACUUUGGUCCAAUGUGUUAUGUUCUUAUUGAACUUUUAAUUUAUUUAGUAUGACUGUCGAACUUUUUAUACAUGUUUAAUUUAGAUCCUAGGCUAGAUAAAUCCAACGAUGCUGUGUUUGGUCGUUCGAACAUCUUUGCUGUAUGGGAUAAUGAAUGGAUGAAAAUCCCAUCUAAUAUUUCUUGACGUCUGGAUAUAGCAUGAUUCAAAAUAAAUCUUUUUUUUUUUAAAUGAGUGUUUGAUUUGUAUAAUUAAAAUUAAAAAUAAACCAUGGAAGUCGUGAAUAGUAUUCAUCCUUUCACAAUCUUCAUCGAUAUUAAACACCCCCGUUCCAUGUGACUUCAAGGACGCUCUCUCCUUCUGCAACGCCCCUUUCGCUGCCCUUGAUCAACUUGAUGGAUUACGCUCGCUCUACCUUUGACUUCGCCACAUUGAGAGGCCCUUGGGUUUGAGUUCUCCGCUGGUCUAGCCAUCUUUACUUCGAAUGCCUUUUCCUGCGAUGAAUCCAUCCCCUUCGACGAGUGCGAAUACUGCGUUGAUUCCCUGUUACCGUGCCCCGACUUGUUCAGUCGCUUCAACAGCUUCCCCCGAGACAGCGUGCGGAUCCGGUUUAUGAGUGGUAGCACCAUCGGUGCUACUCGCUCCGAGUGACGUGGUUGAAGAGCUCUAUCACCUUGGCUGCCGCCUCUUUCGGAUCAUCUUCUUCACAGAGAAGAUGUCCAGCUUUGAUCGGGAUCACAAAGUUCCCUACUAAAAUGGAGUUAAGUGACAUAAGAAAGAGGCAGGGCUGACGAGCUCCGACGCCACUUUUCCGAGGCAGCCAAAGGUGGUAAGCAGCUUGUCACUGGUAGGAGGAACGGUGGCCCUUAGACUUUGCUCAGGUCGUUGUGGCGAGGGCUUCUCUAGGUAUCUUCGCGAUACUCAUGCUCUAAGUUUGUGGUGGUCAUUUUAGUGAGAGAAAUUGAAACAAGAGAGAUGAUGCGGCACCGGUCAAAAGUGAGGAUAAGCCAUCAACAAGCGCAGGAGUGGGGGAAAAACUUGUAUCCCUUAUUUUUUUCAAUUUUCCAAAUUUCACAUAUCCUAUUUGGAUCUAUAUCACUUUCUAGAUGAGAUUUUUUAUCCGGACUAUAUCCAAAUUUCACGUUACUCUAAACACCGGAUAUGAUCAAACUUAUCAUAUCAGAGUUUUAUUCGGCCCAUCAAAGACAGACUUAUGAGAUAGAAUGCAAUGAUAUAAUCUAUGAAUUAGAUUAAACAUUUAUUAAAAGUUUAAGAAUAAUAUUUCACAUUUUGAUUGUUAGGAUGCACGAGUGAGUUAUGUUAAAACAAUCCCACAAUAUAUUGAUAGCUUUGUAAUAAGGCUUUCUCUUGGUGAUGACAUAGAUCCAUAUGGAGAAAUUAAUGGGAGGGUUUAUUUGGCCUAACUAAAUGGGAGGCUAUAUCAAUCGGAGCUUUUUCAUUGUAACAUUCCCUUGUGCUUGGUAUUUGUAUUUUAGUAAAAGGAUUUUGCUAGCAUAAUAAUCUUUGGGUUAUCAUGAGAAUAACAAUUUAUUAUGAUUUACAAAAUUUUAAAAUAGUAAACCUCAAUUCAAUUUUAAACUUUUUUUUUUCUAACUAAUUCAAUCCUAAAUAUUUUGCAUUUGUGACAAUUUAGUCUAUUCGGCCAUUUUUCGCCAAGAGGCAUUGAUGUGAACUUUGGCUGAUCGACCAAUGCUGACAUGGACAAUUUUUUUAAUAAUAUUUUAUUUUUCUUAUUUUUUAUUAAUUUUUUCUUUCUUUUUUUCUUCACUUCCUUCUCCUUCCUCCAGCCAGUCGGCAAGAGGCAAGGUUGGUGAGGGACCUUGCUGGCCUUGAGGAAGCUUGGCCAUGGUUGGGCAACCUUGCUCGUGGCUAGGCGACCUCGCCGAGGCCGCCGAUUGGGCUGGCGAGGGUUGACCCUCGUUGGCCAUAGGUCAGGACAAAGGCUGCUAGUUGGGCUUGCCCUUAUUGAAUCUGGUGAGGGUUGAGUCUCAUUGGCCAUGGGCAAGGUCAAAGGCCGCGACCUCUCGUGGUCUCUGGCGAGGCUUGCCAAAGGUUGAGCAAGGCUUACCCUCAUUGGACUGACGAGGGUUGAGCCUCGUCAGCCAAGAGCGAGAUCGUAACUUGCCCAUGGCCGGUGAGGCUCGCCUAGGCCAAAGACAGGCGGGGCCUUGCCUAACCAUGGCAAGGGUGGCCUCACCAUUGUUGGGUGAGGCUAGCCCUUGCCAGUGGCGUGUGGGGGUAAGCCUUGCCAUUGGUUGGCAAGGCUGACUUCACUGGCUUGAAUAAAAUAAAAUAUUAUUAAAAGAUUAUUCACAUCAAUAUUAGCCGAACGAGUGGUGCUCGUCGGCCAAAAUUGGCCGGAUGAAUUGAAUUAGUAUAAUUGCAAAAUGUUUAGGACUGAAUUGGCUAGAAAAAAAAAAGAUUUUAAGACUAAAUUAGAAAAAUUGCAAUAAGUUUAUGAUUGUUUUGGUAAUUUUUUCGUAUAAUAACCCUAGUAAAGAUGACUCACUUAAUUUGAGCGUCAAUAAAUCAAAGGUCACUUGUUUAGUUCUCACAACUUAUUUGUAAAUCACUUUAGAAGUGCAAAUCCAAUCAAUUUAUGAGCUUGCAAAAUGAGUCUCUAGAUAAACCAACUUUUGUAUUCGUGCUUCAGGAUUAUAAUAAAAUAUUAGAGGUUUUCAUCAGUGUAUCAUGAUAGGCUAGAUAGGGCGUUUUCUUUUGCACUUGUCAUACAUGAUCAUUUUGUAUCCUUUGAACUCAUGUUAUUUGUUGGUACUAGGUUGAGUGGUAAUAUGAUCUCCUACCUUAUACUUAGAUAUUUCAUUUAUUAGGCUUCGCCUCACUCCUUUUUUUCUUUUUUUUUCUUUUUUGUUGUAGGAUGAUUCCCCUAAAGAUGGUGACGGAGGGGCCGAGUUGAUAUCGGAAGCCAUUAAUCCUUGAGUUGGAUGGUAGUUUAGUUAGUAUGGAUGUAAUGGUAUUAGGUGACCCCGAUCUUUCCUAGGACUAUAAAAUUUUUUGUGAUAAUUACUAUCGAUAUUGUAUAAAGCCAAAGACACUUUUUUUUUUAAUAAACUCAUGCAUUUUUCUAGUAAAGGAUGUUGUGAAAACUUUAUUGUCUUUUCCAUGCGUAAUUAUAACUAUGAGUAUAAAUGGAAAUGACAUGUGCCGCAUGUGAUGUUCCAAGGCGUCACAUAAUCCCCAACACUCAAAUUAGGGUCCAUUAAGGCAGUGCUUAAAACUAUGAUGCUCAAGUUCUAUUCGGCAGCACUUAGGCUCGGGUCCAACAAGAUCGUGUGUCAGUCCUCAAUGCUCGGGCUCGGCUCGUUAGUUAAUAAAAUGUUGUUCUUAUAAAAAUAAUUCUUUUUAUUUUCAUUUUAUAUUCAUUUGUUUUCUUUCUUUUUCUUUCUCCUUCUUCUUGGCUGGUUGCCGACCAUGAUGACGAUUGCGCCUGAGAACAAGCGAGAGAUGAGCUAGCCCAAGGCCAAGAAGACUUGAGAUUGCUGAUUUGGCAAGCUUGAAGUUGGUUGAUCAAGUGACGCUAAAGCUCCCUAGCGUUGGGCAACCUCGAGUUUCACCUCAUGGCUAGUCGCCAACUACCACCGUGGCGAGCGAUCGGUUGAGGAAGAAGAAAAAUAAAAAUAAAAUUAAAAGAGAAAAUAACUAAAAAUCUGAAUAUUUUGGCAUUUUCUAUAGGGAAAUCAAAUCGAAAAAAUAUUUUCUAGUUUAUCUUUAGGACUUAACCAAAUAUUGGAAAUAUUAUUCAGAUAUGUCAUAUUUUUUGCGAAACAAACGGUGCGUAAAUAUUUAGAUUUGAUAAUUGUCCAUGUUAAUUAGGUACACAUUAUCUCACUCUUUGUUUCGUUGCCGAACUGAUGCUAAUCUCUAGACGAAGCUUGACUAGUCUCAACUCAAUAGGCGGCUUGACUUUUGCGCUUCCUUUUCUUCUUUUCUUUUUUCUUUUUAACUCAAAACACUCAAAACUUUCCUGGUACACGACUGUCGUCGUGUUACAAUCACUUUCAAUAAUGAUGGCCAUCCGAGCAAGAUGAGGGCGACUGGUCCCCCUAGAAAUUGUCAUGACGUUUGACUUUCAUGAAUUGAAAUGACUUUUCUCUGUCAAGGAGAAAAAUAGUUAACUAGUCAAGAUCGUGCCACAUCUCUCCAUCCAUGUCCUCCACAUCCGGCCCCACCAAUCGGACUCCCCGACAAAAAAAAUCGAGGACACGUGGCUGGAUCUAGAAAGUCACAGGUUCGACUUGUCUACUGUUAUCACUGUCCUUUUGCAAUAAUUUUUUUACACCCGUCUAGCUGUUGUGAGCUCCUCUGACAUACUAAUUGUGUGGAUAUGGUGAACUUGGGACCUUCUAUAAUCUGUCCAUAUUAAAAAUUUAAAAUGGACAAAUUCCGCCUCUCAUUGUGGAAUUCCACCCACAUUUCUCGCAAACUUUCAAACAUUAGUUCCAGGUCGUGCAUUCCAAUUGAGCCUUGUCUGGUCAAAUAUCAAAGUACUCUAGAGAAAAAUUUUAAAAAAAAUUGUAAAAAAGAGAGAGAAGGAAAACGAUUCAGCCUUAUAAUAACUUGCUAGGAACCACGUAGUUAAUUAGAGCAUCAAGAAAUUAGAGGUAGCUUGUGUAGUUCUCGCAAGUUACUUGUAAAUUGCUUUAGAAGUACAAACUUAAUUGAUUUAUGAGCUUGCACCAUAUUUUAUGAGUUUCUGAAUAACCAACUUUUGUAUUCAUGCAACUCACUCCGCUGUGACUGAGUUGGUUCGGACGUUCCCUCCUCUUCCAAUUGGGGGGAGGUUUGAGUCACCACGAUUGCAUUUGCGCAACUUAAGUGCGGCGCCAUGAGAGGUGGGUCCCCGUGCUAGCGUCACCGUGGGUUUACGUCGCCAGCUGCCGGUUGUACGGCGAUUCUCAAGUCAUAAAAAAAAAAGAAAAAAGAAAAUUUGUAUUCAUGCUUGUAGAUUAUAAUAAAAUAAUUGGUUGUGGUGGGCAAUUGAGAGUGACACCGUUUUCGCCUUUUAUUUUUUGUAAUAUGUGAAGUGUUGUUCUGUUUUUUGUUUUCGUCACCCUCCCACUUGUGCUAUAUUUGUUAGGUCUCCUCGCCAGGAGUUCGUCACUUUAUGUUAUUGACCUCUUAAUUAAAUACAACAAUACCUUCAAGGACUGCUCUUCAUAAAGGCGCGGAUUGGACGGCCGGUGACCGAGAUAGCAGCCUCCGCCCCUCCCUCGGUCUUGCCCUUUGCAUAACUUUUAGAAAACAUGCGUGAUUAGAGGAUCAAUAGUGACUUAAUUCUAACCCGUAUCGAUGUUACCCGUUUAGCAUCUCUUAGUAAAUGUAAAUAUUGUACGCGGAUGACAGCAUUUUGAAGAAUUUACAAUUGGUGUUCUUUUAUUAAAUAUGGUUGAUAUCAUGAAAAAUCUUAGAUUGAUACAUUUGCGACAAACUUAUCCCAAACUAUUUUUUUUACACAAAAACCGUAAACUAGUAUAUUUGUAAUUUUACCUAAAACUAUUUUUUUUUAUCGUCAAAAACCUCAAACUGAUAUAUUUGUAGCAAAAUUACUCUUUACUAACUAGUGUUAAAUUAUACUAAUAUGAAUUGGUACAUCUAUGACAAACGAAGGGUAAAAUCCUAAAUUGGUACACUCAUUAACUAUCAUAUGUCAUUUAACUCAGUAAUUUAAUAGUACAAUUUAAGGGAAAUUAACGGAGGGUCAAUUUGUCAUAGGUGUAUCGGUAUGAGAUUUUUGAUAGCAAAUGUAGGAGUUUUACAUGGUAUUAAACUCUAUUGCAUAUGAUCAAAAGUCCUAGUUUCUACUAUUUUUGUCGACACAAUACCUUAAAAAACCUCAAACUUAAGCUCUGAUCCUAAUUCUAUCUUUUGUGUUAUAAGACCUCCAACUUUAGAUCAUGUCCCAAUUCCACCCUAACAUACAUAUUUUAGAAAACCCCAUAUUUUAGUUAUAGUCCCAAUCUUAUCUAAACAUCUGUUAUCUCAUAAAAUCCCUCAAAUUUAGGUCAAGUACCAAUUCCAACCUAAACGUUAUUUUGUCUUAUAAAAAGAAUCCUAGCUUUAGGUCCAAUUUCAUUUUCACUUUUUUUUUUUAUCUCAUAAAAGAUUACCAACUUUUACUUGAGUCCCAAAUCCACUCUCCAUUAACCCUCCAUCAAAAUUGCCCUUAGUGAUUUUGUGCUCGGUUUUUGAUCUCGCGUGCUUGGAAAUAUUUCAUUUCUCUUGAACAACUUGUGCUUGAGGGUUUUCCAUCUCUCGAUGUCAGCAGGAAAUUUUGCACGAAGGGUUAAUGGUGGCAAAUAUGCGACUCAAGUAAAAAUUUAUAGUUUUUUCAUCAGACUAUAAAAAUUUUACGGUAAUAUUGAGAGUGGAUAGGCUUUUCAUAAGACAAGAAAAGGUUUAAGGUAGAAUUAGUAUAUUAUUUAAAAUUGAAUUGUGAAUGGCUAUAAAAUUAGUGAUUUUUUUUAUGAGAUAAAAGGUAAAAUUAGGAGAAAAGCUAAAGUUAGAGAGUUUUUUUUAGGGUAUCAAACCUAUUUUUGUCAAUCAUAUGAUGUCAACAUUAUCUUUGUUUUUGUUUUUCUUUCAAUUGUCCAUUUGGUCGGUUCUUUUCUAUUCUUAUUCUCAAACUUUUGCCUUGACUCAUUACAAGUGUGAGAAUUGAAACCACAUUUGAUACUAUAUUGUCCCCCGGUAGGCAUUCAAAACCCCCAUCUCCCGCUUCUCAUGUAAGUUAUGAAUGGAGCCUUCGUGUCGUGUCCGACACGCUCGAAGAUGCGGUCAAUACGUGUUCGAAAUCCGACACGUGAACAAUUCUUAUUGACACAUUCUAACACACAAGUCCGAGAGAGAGGAUCGUUGAAGAAAACAAUGGCAAGGGAGCGAAGGCAACGGCAAGGCCACGACGGUGAGAGAGGGCUAGAGGAAGAGUAGAGACCGAGAUGACCUAAAGAGAGGAUCGUGACUGCAAUGGAGGGCCGGUGGCGAGACUGCACCUAUGUAGGAGGAAGGGUUGGAGGUGAGGCGGCAAGCGAUUAUGACAAGGCAAUCAAGAGAGAGAAGAGAUUGAGAGGUGGAUGGUCGUGCGAGGAGGAGGGGAAGGCCAGGGCUAGGGUUUUUGAAGGGGGAAAAUCAAAAAAUUAAAAACAUGAUUUUGAUGGGACAUUAGGGUUGUGCAAGGAGGAGGGGAAGGCCAGGGCUAGGGUUUUUGAAGGGGAAAACUCAAAAAAAUUAAAAACAUGAUUUUGAUGGGACAUUGCUGUGAUUUCUCCUUUAUGGAGAGGGGGAGCGUGUCGGGAGGUGGAGGGGGAGGGCAGAUAAAUGAGGGAAAGAUGAGUGAAAUAAGUUUGUUGGGGGCACAAAAGGAGGGGUUGGUAGGACCUGAGCAAGUCCUUAGACUGCUCCGUCUGGUCGGAAAUAGCCCACGGACGUAAAAUGUGGGCAAUGUUAAUCGUGGGAGAUCAGACCACCCUGUGUAAGGAUCUCCUGGCUCAGAUUCCCGCGAUGCCUUUCUCCUAACAUAUUAGGCUGGGUACAGGAAAAUGAUGAGUGAAAUAAGUUUGUUGGGGGGGGGGGGCACAAAAGGAGGGGUUGGUAAGGGUUGGCAUGGACCCCAUGGAUUUUUAUUUUUUUUUAAUCAAAAAAAUAAAUAAGGAAGGCCAGAAAGUGGGGGAAGAAACUAUGGAAAGAGAGUGAAGUAAAUGUGGGGGUGAGGGUUGGGGUGGACCACGGGGGUCUUUUCUUAUCAGAAAAAUAAAUAAGAAAAACUAUAAGGUGAUUUCGGAAAAUGAAAGUGUUGAAUGUUGAAUAAUAAUAAAAUUUGAUAAUUGUAAAAGAUUAUAGAUUUAUUUAAAUAAGUUAAUUCUAAUUUUUCUUAAUCAUUAGUUUUAUCAAUAAUUUUUGUUAGAGUUAGAAAUAUGUUCGUAUGGAUGCUAUAUGGCAUAUGGAAAGGGUGGCCUCACUUCUGGCGUUUCAUGUAUGGAAAGAGUGAUUAUUAAUGGCGCAUUUGGUAACGUUUUUGUUUCGGAGGACAAUUUUUGAAUAGAAAUAGUUUUUUUUUUUGUUCUAGGGAAUAAUUUUUGAGUAUAAGAAUGUGUUUGGUAACUGCAAACAAUUUCUACUCUAAAAAUAGAAACGCGCUUGGUAAACUUGUAUAAUUUCUUUGUUUCUUUUAAUUUUUUAAUAUUUUUAAUAUUUUUUUUCUUUUUUUCUUUUUUCUUUUUCUCUUUGGUCGGUUGCUGGCUAUGGCGAUGUCCGUUGAGCCUUGUCCAGGCAACGCGAGGUUCGCCUCGUGCCGAUUGGGGAGGUCAAGGCCUCUUGGCUUUGUCUGGGCUAAGCGAGGUUGACCUUGCCCAGCCACCGGCGAGACUCGGCCUCGCUGGGCCACCGCUAGGCGACUCUGUCCUGGAGGUGGCUCGGCGAGGUCGAGCCUCAUGCGGCCAUGGCGAGGCUCGGCCUCUCUGGGGGCUAGCGACACUCCGGCGAGGUCGUCGGCUCUCGUCUAGCCAGUUGCCGGUGUCAACUAUGGCUAAGGCUGAUGACNNNNNNNNNNNNNNNNNNNNNNNNNNNNNNNNNNNNNNNNNNNNNNNNNNNNNNNNNNNNNNNNNNNNNNNNNNNNNNNNNNNNNNNNNNNNNNNNNNNNCGUCUGGUCGAAAACAGCCCAUGGACGUAAAAUGUGGGCAAUGUUAAUCGCGGGAGAUCGGACCACCCUGUGUAAGGAUCUCUCGGUUCAGAUUCCCGCGAUGCCCUUCUCCUAACGUAUUAGACUGGGUACAGGAAAAUGACGAGUGAAAUAAGUUUGCUGGGGGCACAAAAGGAGGGGUUGGUAAGGGUUGGCAUGGACCCCAUGGACUUUUAUUUUUUUAUCAGAAAAAUAAAUAAGGAAGGCUAGAAAGUGGGGGAAGAAACUAUGGAAAGAGAGUGAAGUAAAUGUGGGGGUGAGGGUUGGGGUGGACCACGGGGGUCUUUUCUUAUCAGAAAAAUAAAUAAGAAAAACUAUAAGGUGAUUUCGGAAAAUGAAAGUGUUGAAUGUUGAAUAAUAAUAAAAUUUGAUAAUUGUAAAAGAUUAUAGAUUUAUUUAAAUAAGUUAAUUCUAAUUUUUCUUAAUCAUUAGUUUUAUCAAUAAUUUUUGUUAGAGUUAGAAAUAUGUUCGUAUGGAUGCUAUAUGGCAUAUGGAAAGGGUGGCCUCACUUCUGGCGUUUCAUGUAUGGAAAGAGUGAUUAUUAAUGGCGCAUUUGGUAACGUUUUUGUUUCGGAGGACAAUUUUUGAAUAGAAAUAGUUUUUUUUUUUGUUCUAGGGAAUAAUUUUUGAGUAUAAGAAUGUGUUUGGUAACUGCAAACAAUUUCUACUCUAAAAAUAGAAACGCGCUUGGUAAACUUGUAUAAUUUCUUUGUUUCUUUUAAUUUUUUAAUAUUUUUAAUAUUUUUUUUCUUUUUUUCUUUUUUCUUUUUCUCUUUGGUCGGUUGCUGGCUAUGGCGAUGUCCGUUGAGCCUUGUCCAGGCAACGCGAGGUUCGCCUCGUGCCGAUUGGGGAGGUCAAGGCCUCUUGGCUUUGUCUGGGCUAAGCGAGGUUGACCUUGCCCAGCCACCGGCGAGACUCGGCCUCGCUGGGCCACCGCUAGGCGACUCUGUCCUGGAGGUGGCUCGGCGAGGUCGAGCCUCAUGCGGCCAUGGCGAGGCUCGGCCUCUCUGGGGGCUAGCGACACUCCGGCGAGGUCGUCGGCUCUCGUCUAGCCAGUUGCCGGUGUCAACUAUGGCUAAGGCUGAUGACUGGCAAAAGGAAGAAGAAGAAGAAGAAGAAGAAGAAAAGAAAGAGAAAAUAGAAGAAGAAAAAUGAUAAGAAAAAAAAGUGUUUUUCGAAAGUGUUCUCGAGAAUAAGAAAUAAGUUUUUUUUUUUAAUUUCUUAUUUUUGUUCCAAAGUUGCUCUCACAAUAAAAAAAAAAGACCAGAAUAAAAGUAUAAACAAAUGAGUUUCUAUUCUUUUUUGGUUCUCUGGAACAAAAUAAUAAAAAUUUAUAUUCCAGGAAAAAAAAAUAAUUUUAAACGAACACACCCUAAGAUAUCUUUUGUAUUCCGGGGAAGUAGUUCAAUUGACGUGAGCCCGUGCGUCUUCCCUACAUGGGAAGGGUCGUCACUGGGUCUCAUCUGACCUAAGCAAGUGCGUCUUCACAGCUUUUACCGCUCCCCUCCUACACUUCGUAGCUACCGCCACUCCCCUCCUAUAAAUCUCGGCUCGCCCGACGCCUUCGCCAUCGUCUCGGUGCAGUGCAGGGAACGAGCGAGCUCGAGCUAGACGACGGCAAUGGCGGCUUCGACGACGACGGUGAGGAGGAUCAAGCUGGGGUCGCAGGGCCUCGAGGUGUCGGUGCAGGGGCUGGGCUGCAUGGGCAUGUCCGCCUUCUACGGCCCUCCCAAGUCCGACACCGACAUGAUCGCCCUGAUCCACCACGCCGUUGGCUCCGGCGUCACCUUCCUCGACACCUCCGACAUCUACGGCCCCCACACCAACGAAACCCUCCUCGGAAAGGUCGGUUCUCUCUCAGUCUCUGUUUUGCCUCCGCAUGAAUUAUAUGUGCUUAUAGUGUUACGGAAUUUAGCUUCAUCGAGCAGAGUGCUCUGAUCCUGCGCCUUGGUUUUCUGAUUUCGGGGUUGAUUUUGAGCAGGCACUGAAGGGAGGGGUGAGGCAGAAGGUGGAAUUGGCGACCAAGUUCGGAAUCAGCUUCGCGGACGGGAAGAGGGAGGUCCGGGGCGAUCCGGCGUACGUGAGGGCGGCUUGCGAGGCCAGCUUGAAGCGGCUUGACAUCGAUUGCAUCGACCUCUACUACCAACAUCGCAUCGACACUCGCGUCCCCAUCGAAGUCACUGUAUGGAUCCCCCAUCAAACUUUCACCUCGCUUGAGACUUUCUCCGAGCCAUAUGAUUAGUUGCUAAGUUAGAUUGGUGUUGAUGAUGCAUCGUCAUGUUGUUACAAGUUUGUUGAAAUUUGUUAAAUGACACUUAAGUUCGGCUGAUAGCAGAGUUCAAGAUGCGGCACGUUGUUGUUCAAGGGGUUGUGGAAUUUAGUAGUUUAGUGGCUUGAGUUUUCGUUUUGUGGGCAUCUUUUACAAGUUAAGGGUCAACAAGCAUGAAAAUUAUUCAAAAUCUUCCUUUGAGAUGAAAGUGCUCCAGGGUUCAUCCAGAAUUUAUAUACGGGAAUCACAUAUAAAGUUGUUCCUGGACUUUAUGUGGAGACAUUUGAUUCUUGACAUAUUGUGAAAUAUGACAAGUACUUGGAAUACUUCUUUUAUUUGCUCUCUUCUGUGAGAGAUUCAAGAAAUCAACCUCCGUUAACUCAAUACCUUGUGACUUUUUUGUCGCAUUGAGAUGCAUGAUAAUAGAGGGAUCUAGACGCAUAAAAAGCUAAUGACAUGCAUAAUUUUCUGGAUCUUAACAUGUAAGAUCUUGAUGUUGUUGUUCUGUCAUGUGAAUAUGCACAGAUCGGAGAGCUAAAGAAGCUCGUUGAAGAAGGUAAGAUAAAGUACAUCGGUUUAUCCGAGGCCUCUGCAUCAACAAUCAGAAGAGCACAUGCUGUUCAUCCCAUCACAGCAGUGCAAUUGGAGUGGUCGCUUUGGUCAAGAGAUGUGGAGGCAGAGAUCGUUCCAACGUGCAGGUAGGAUAUCACUCUGUUAAUUGUUUAUGCAGCAACAACAGCUUCCUUCUGACUCUGCUUUUCCUUUAAAAUGCUGACUAGGGAGCUUGGCAUUGGAAUUGUUGCCUACAGUCCUUUAGGACGAGGAUUCUUUUCUGUUGGCUCCAAGUUGGUGGAGAAUAUCUCUAAGGAUGACUUCAGACAGGUCUGUUCCUGCUUGUCAACAUAAUUAGAUGUUUACAUUGACUGUCAUUCUUAUUGAAGUGCUGGAAACCUGUUCUUGUGGUAUAAAGAAAAAGUAUCUGGAUGGGAUGAAUAAAACUUGGUGACACGAAUGCUUCGUGUUCUUAUAUGUCUUUAAUCCAGCACUUGCCAGACAUCCCACCUCUCUUGAUUCUAGAUAAAUGUAAAAUCACAAGUAACGGCUUUAAUGAGCCUGAAAGAGGCAGUUUCCUGGAUUCUCGUGCUUUUGGGAAUGAAUACAUAUAGGUUUAUAUGUAAGUUGCUCUGUUUCCCAGCCUUCCCAACAUUUGCUUAUCACUAUCCUUUCCCCACUUUCCACCCACCCUUUUUCUCUCAUCUUUCUUCACAAGAAUAGCGAUAUUUCCUCGAAAUAACUGACGCCAGUAUCGGGCUUUGGCCCUCCGUCCUUUUUCAUUCUCAUCUUUCUUCACAAGAUAAACUAUAUCUUGACACAACCAUUUCUUGAGCGCGGACUCCCGACACCCUUCUUAUGAGAGUUUUGGAUCAAGUUCCCAUCUGACAUAAAGCCAAUUGUGUAUUACUCCCCGCCAUUAGCGUUUGACUAGCGAUAGUGCUGGGCAAGUGAAGUAGCUAUUUUUCUUUGUAGCUAAAAGAGCUCUGCGUCUGAUAACAUUCUUCUACUCAUCAUCUACAUUUCUGAUUUUUUAUUUUAUGUGACUAAUGGUAUCAUCACACGUACAAAACUUAGAUUGUCGAGUUUGUUUCUGUUUUCACAUCCUACAUCAAGCCCAUCAGCCUUGUGUGGUAGUUGCUAGAUCACUUCGCUUGACGUUUCUAAUGCUUAUGAUUUGGGACAUGAUAUUUUAAUCAUUUCAAGAUAAUUUAUAACUGAUCAUGCUUUUUCAGAUACACAACGAUUGCACACUUCUAAAUGCUUAUUAUGUCAAGUAACAAGACAAUCCGAUGGCAUGCAAUGCAACCACUUUUGCACUUGUUGCUGUAGAAUUUAGCCUUAAGAGGAAAAUGAUAAUUUCUCAUAUGCUCUCUGCUGAGACAUUGCUCUAUGUUAUGCAGUAUCUACCAAGGUUCCGGCCAGAGAACUUGGCUCACAACACGAAGUUAUUUGACCGAGUGAAUGAAAUUGCGCAAAGAAAGGGAUGCACCACAUCGCAGUUAGCCCUGGCCUGGGUACACCACCAGGGUGACGACAUUUGCCCGAUUCCCGGCACAACCAAGAUCGAGAAUUUCAACCAGAACAUUGGAGCUCUGUCAGUGAAGCUUACACCGGAAGAGAUGGCCGAGCUUGAAUCGAUUGCUUCUGCGGACAAUGUCAAGGGUGGCAGGUACGAUGGAAGCAUGUCUACAUGGGAAAACUCCGACACUCCACCCCUUUCUUCUUGGAAACCUGCCUAGAAGCGUGUCUGCUUCUGUUGCUGCAUCUUUGAUGUGCAGAGGUUGAGCAUUUGCCGCUGAAGUAAUUUGAGUUUAUGUUGUGUGGCUGUUAUAAGUAUGUGUAAUAAGAGAGUGACUGUUUUCAUUUUGUACAUGUGACAUUCACUAUGAUAAGAUUAUGGAUGUGUACUAACCUUACUGGGGAAAGAUCACUCGAUAAACACGAGAGCGAGUUGAAUACGAACUGAGCCUGCCGUGUCGACUUUAUUGGGGUGACUUUUAGAAUCUGAGAAAUCGGGAUUUUGAAGAAUUCAAACUCAGUCGUACAUACUAGAGUGGUAUUCUCCACCAACCAUGAGUUCAAUCUCUUAAGACUGGAUGCUGCACAUAGAUGCAAAGCUUCGCUUUGUGUUUGGUUUGGUAGCGAAGUUAAGGAACAGUAAAAUGUUACCGGAUGUUCUCGCGAAAACGAAGUUGGGGAUAAAAUGCUGGCGCGGAUGAUAUGAGCGUCGGGGAAAUCGAGGGUUUCUUGUUCAAGUUUCACCACCUACGGUUCAUGAGCUUUUAUGUAGCUCGAUACCUUCGCUCAAUGCCUCUGCAUUAUUAUAAAACAGUCGGAGAUAUUGCGCAAGUUUCCUAAAAUUAAAAACGACACUUCUAUUGUUUUUUAUUUGGAGUUAGAGUGGUGCAAUGUUGUUUUGUUUUGGUUUAGGAAAAUAACGCAAAUAGUCACUACACUUUGGUCCAAUGUGUUAUGUUCUUACUGAAUUUUUAACUUGUUUAAUAUGGUUGUCGAGCUUUUUGUAUAUGUUUAAUUUAAAUCCUAGGCUAGAUAAAUCCAAUGAUGCCGUGUUUGGUCGGUUCGAAGAUCGUUGCUAUAUGGGAUAAUGAUAGGAUAAAAAUCCCAUCUAAUAUUUCUUGACGUCUGGAUAUAACAUGAUUCAAAUAAUUUUUUUUUUAAACGAGUGUUUGAUUUGUAUAAUUAAAAUUAAAAAUAAACCAUGGAAGUCGUGAAUACUAUUCAUCCUUUCACAAUCUUCAUCCAUAUCAAGCACCCCCGUUCCAUGUGACUUCAAGGACGCUCGCUCCUUCUGCAACACCCCUUUCGCUGCCCUUGAUCAACUUGAUGGAUUACGCUCGCUCUGCCUUUUGACUUCGCCACAUUGAGAGGCCCUUGGGUUUGAGUUCUCCGCUGGUCUAGCCAUCUUUAUUUUCAACGCCUUUUCCUGCGAUGAAUCCAUCCCCCUCGACGAGUGUGAAUGCCGCGUUGAUUCCCUGUUACCGUGCUCCGACUUGUUCAGUCGCUUCAACAGCUUCCCCCGAGACAGCGUGCGGAUCCGGUUUAUGAGUGGUAGCAGCAUCGGUACUACUCGCUCCGAGUGACGUGGUUGAGGAGCUCUAUCACCUUGGCUGCCGCCUCUUUCGGAUCAUCUUCUUCACAGAGGAGGUGUCCAGCUUUGAUCGGGAUCACAAAUUUCCCUACUAAAAUGAAGUUGAGUGACACAAGAAAGAGGCAGGGCUGACGAGCUCCGCGAUACUCAUGCUCAUGCUCUAAUUUUGUGGUGGUCAUUUUAGCGAGACAAAUUGGAACAAGAGAGAGAUGAUGGUGGCACUGGUCAAAAGCGAGGAUAAGCUAUAAAAAGCGCCCCGCCGCCCGGGGGGGGGGGGGGGGGGGGGGGGGGGGUCAGUUUUUCAAAUUUCACAUAUUUUAUCUGGAUUUAUAUCACUUUCUAGAUGUGAUUUUUUAUCCGUGCUAUAUCCUAAUUUCACAUUACUCUAGACACCAUAUAGGAUUAAACUUAUCAUAUUAGAGUUUUAUCCAGCCCUUCAAAUGCAGUCUUAUGAGAUAGAAUGCAAUGAUAUAAUCUGUGAACUAAAUUUAAACAUUUAUUAAAAGUUUACGAACGGAAUUUCACAUUUUGAUUGUUAAGAUGCAUGAGUGAGUUAUGUUAAAAUAAUCACACAAUAUAUUGAUAGCUUUAAAAAUGGGCUUUCUCUUGGUGAUGACGUUGAUCCAUAUAGAGAAAUUAAUGAGAGGGUUUAUUUGGCCUAACUAAAUGGGAGGCUAUAUCAAUGGGAGGUUUUUCAUUGUAACAUUCCCUUGUGCUUGGAAUUUGUUUUUUAGUAAAGGAUUUUAUUAGCGUAAUAAUAGUCUUUGGGUUAUUAUGUGAAUAACAAUUUAUUGUGAGUCACAAAUUUUUUAAAGUAAUGAACCCCAUAAUAAUUUCAAUUAUUUGUUACUUGAUUUUUUGUAGUUUAGAAUAAAAAUUAUCACCAAGUUAUUUCUUUUUAACAAAUAUAUUGCUCUAACUGUUGUUUUCAAUUAAGUUUGCAUCGGAGAAGAGAUUAUUUUGUUUUGCUACGCUUGUCGGAUAUUGCACAGGAUAUUGUCAUUUUCUUAGCACUAGCAACGUUGCGUUCAGACAAGGCGGCAUGGAAUUAUUUGCUCAGCUGCACAUCACACGACCAUACAUUCAUGGACUGUUCCUCAGGAAAGCAUAUAGACAUGUGGCAGAUGCAGAACAUUUCACGAGAUUAAAAAAAAGAAAAUAAUUUUUAAAAAACAAUACUUUCGACUUCAAAACGUGCCAAUCGAACGCCUGCUACUCCCGCCUAUAAAGCUCGGCUCACCCAACGGCUUCGUUGUCGUCUCGAACUGUCCAUUCUCCAUUCUCUGUUCUUGCAUCGACCUCGAGCUAGACGAUGGUGGCAAUGGCGUCGUCAGACGGUGAGGAGGAUCAAGUUGGGGUCGUAGGGUCUCAAGGUCUCGGCGCAGGGGCUGGGCUUGCAUGGGCAUGUUGGAAGAUAUGCGGAUUGCCUGAUUUGAUUUGAUCUUAAUUGAUCAUGAUUAAUCACGAUCUUCAUGUAUAUGUAAAUUAAAAAUUAGAUCUAGAUCUCGAUUGAUAAUCCAGAUCAUUUACUUCCUUAUUCAAGAUAGAGCUUGUAUUAUAUCUCUGCAAAAUUGUACAUUCAGAUUGUAAUAGUGAUAAUACAGAAAAAUCUCCCCACAUCGAUUCCCAUUUUCCUCUCCAAACUUCAUCCGUUCUUCCUUCACUCUUGCCUUCUUUCAUGGUAUCAGAGCAGCUUUGAUCUCUGACUCGCUUCCGUUCCAAACCACUGCUGAAGAAAAUUCUCAACCUGCAAAAGGGUUGAUCUUUCGGCAUUAGGCAUACUCUCGAAGGAAGAAAUUUAAAUUAUCUUACUAUGGCCUCUCCGCAGGACUCCAGUCUGGCUGCUGACGACAGGACCACCGAAGAAAGUAGUCCUCAAGCUCCACAGAUCCAGAAUCUCCCUGCAGUAAUACCAGUAUCCACCCAACCCCAGCAGUGGCGGCCCACGCAGGCUCAGUUUCAAUUGGGGCAACCCACGACGGGUCAACCAUACUAGUGGAUCCCCUAUCCACUCUAUUUUGGGCCAAGCCCAAAUUUCUCAUCGCCUUUUUUCGUGGGCCACCAGAAUCACAAUGGAGGCCCGCCAGCCACGAAUGGGGCAAGCCCAUCCAUCGCGAGAGAGCAGACGGGCGGUUCAAGCGAAUCGGGUACGGGGCAUAAUCCCUACCCGGGACAUGUCAAUGCGGGGUAUCUAGUUGGAUUGAGCGAAUCGGGUCAAGGGACGAAUCCCUACCCGAAUUUCGCACCGGGUUUUCUGUCCAUUCCAGCGGCGGCGUUCACUGGGCGACUAGAAAUAGGCGAUCCUCUGUUUGUCUCCACCGCUGACGGAUCGGAGCUUUGACUGAUAAACCAGCAACUAACCGGACUAGAGACCUAUUCGAAGUGGUCACAGGAGCUCCGGCGGGCAUUGGUGACAAAAGACAAAGACGGAUUUCUCGAUGGGACAAUUUCCAUCCCCUCCGAUGAACGCCUAGCCGGACACUGGCGGAAAUGCAAUCAACUCGUCCGAAUGUGGAUCAGAAAUUGCAUAUCCCCAGAAGUCAUGGCUGGGCUUCCACCCACAGAGGAUGCCAAAACCAUGUGGGAAAACAUUCGAGAAAUAUACGGUAAAAUGGAUCAAGCAAAAGUUUUUAAUCUUAUGCAGGAAAUUAGCGAACUCAAACAGGGAAAUUCGACGGUCACGGCCUGCUUCAACAGGCUAUCGUCCCUCCUGAAUCAACUCGAAGCAGUAGAAGAAAAGCUCGAAGGGCCAGAAUCUACCCUCAAGCAGUACAAACAAAUCAAAGAGAGAGAAAAAGCCACGCGAUUCUUGCUGAUUUUAAACGAAUCGUACCUCACGUUUCGGUCACAGAUCCUUGUCAUGGAUCCCAUGCCACCGAUCGGACGUAUUUACAAACUGGCGAUGCAGGAGGAGAGUCAGCGACUCACAAUCACGAACAACGGUGAGAGCAUCGCUCUGGCUGCCCGCGGAGAGGGGAGAACCCUAACCCUAGCUCGUGAAAAUGAAAAGAAAAGCCCUUUAGGGUUCGACGAGCUCGAUUCGCGCGGGCUUAAAAGGGAUGGGAUGAACGGCCAGGAUUACAUGCAAGGAUCGAGCGGCUUAGAUUACUCCCGAAAAUAUGACGGCCCAGAUUACGCAUGGAGAUCCGACGGUCGUCAAGGAAUCGAAAUUGCGCCUGGAUUGGACGGUGGACAGCAGAUCGCGAUCAAAGGAACGGACGGCCAGAUCUUCACCACGUCAUCAAAGAAUUUCGCAAAUUUUUUUAAAGGAAAGGGGUAAAUUUUUUUGCGAUUAUUGCAAACGUACUAAUCAUACCAUUGACAGUUGCUGGAAAUUACACGGGAAGCCGGGAGAAAAGGAGAAAAAAAUUUCCACAGCUUAUCAAGUCACUGGACCAGCUGGUCCAAAAAUUGACCAGCCAAUCUCAUAUGGUCAAUAUCAGCAACUCAUGCAAAAACUACAGAAGAUGGAAAUUUCCAACAAAGGGGGCAAUUUCUCAGGUAUUUCACAUUGCCUAAUUAAUUCCAUUUCCAGGAAGGCGUGGAUUAUAAUUCUGGGGCAAGUGACCAUAUUAUACGCGACAAGGGAUUUUUUUUUCAAAUAUAAAUGAAAGUUUGAAUUUUCCUGUCUCCGUACAAUUACCCAACGGAAAUGUUACUCAUGUCAAAGUGAUAGGAACAGUGAAUCUCAGUCCUCAGAUUAUUCUCUAGAAUGUGCUAUAUGUCCCAGAAUUCCAAUUCAACCUCAUAUCUGUGUCUCAAGUCUGCAAAGAGAACUCAUGCCGGGUAAUAUUCAAUGCUGACACAUGUUUAUUUCAGGCCCUUUCGACUGGAAGACAGAUGGACUUGGGUAAUCUUUCUGAAGGACUCUAUUUCUGGACGAGUUUUCCAAGUAAUUUCAAUUUUCCAUGCAAUUCCUUGAAUAAAAAAUCAUUGUGUAAUUCAACUGCCAAUGAUAGAAAUUUGACUAUGCAUAUGAGAUUGGGUCACAGUGCUUCAUUUUCAUAUCAUGAAUGUCUUAUAUGUCCCCUUGCAAAGCAAUCUCGCACACCAUUUUCUUCUAGUACUUCACGGACUAGUCAAAUAUUUGCAUUACUUCACGUGGACAUUUGGGGACCUUAUCAUACAGUCAAUCAUGAUGGCUCCCGUUAUUUUCUUACGAUAGUAGAUGACUAUUCUCGGGCAACAUGGAUCUUCCUAAUACAAUAAAAAAAUUAGGUCUAUUCUCACCUGAAAAAUUUCAUUAUGCUAUCUAAGAACCAAUUCAGGAAAUCCAUUCAGCGGAUUCGCACAGAUAACGGGAGAGAAUUCUUCAGUCAUGAAUGCUCCCAGUUAUUCAAUUCUCAUGGUAUUCGACACGAAAGUUCCUGCAUUUACUCACCACAACAAAAUGGAGUGGUUGAAAGAAAGCAUCGCCAUCUACUGGAAGUGGCUCGUGCCUUGAAAUUUCAAGCAUCAAUUCCAGAAAGAUAUUGGGGUGACUGUGUCACCAUAGCAGCUUAUCUUAUUAAUAGAAUGCCUACUCGGAUUCUUAAUGGACAGAUGCCAUUCGAGCUGUUAUUUGGGAAGAAACCGGACUUGAAUCAUCUCAAGAUCUUCGGAUGUCUCUGCUAUGCUGCAAUCAUGGGGCCUCGAGAUAAAAUGAGCCCAUGUGCGCGGCGAUGCGUCUUUAUGGGAUAUCCCAAUCUCCAGAAGGGGUAUCGGGUGCUUGAGAUUUCCACAGGAGAAUUCAUAGUAAGUCAUGAUGUCAUUUUCCAUGAAACUACUUUUCCAUUUUAUGAAGGGGAAUCUUCACAUGGAGAUCCAAAGAUAACUUCCAGCCAUCAUAAUUUUCUCAAUGAUGAAGCACCAUACCGGGAUCUUUCCUAUGUACCAAUAGUACAGCCGAGGGAUCCUAUUCUUCCUACAGUCCCAGUUCUACAAGAUUCUAAUGGAAAUUCGAAUUCUUCAGAACAUAUUCAGGGAGAUAUCUUGGAGGAACCCAUUGCUGAUGCAGAAGUUGAUGACACUACAACAACUUCAUUACCAGCAACAUCACAGCCCACCACCGAAGCUGGACAUCCUAGGAGGUCUGAACGAGCUACAAGACCACCAACCCGGACGAAAGAUUAUGUCUGUACUACUCACAACUCUCCAAGUAUUCAGUAUCCAGUCUCUUCAUAUGUUUCCUUUGAUAGAUUGUCUCAAGAACAUAGAUGUUGUAUUAGUCGAUUGUUUGAAGAGAAAGAACCGUCCAGUUAUAAAGAAGCCUCCAAUAACCCAAAAUGGCAAGAGACCAUGAAGGCAGAAUUGAAGGCCCUUACUGAUAAUCAUACAUGGGAUCUUGUUCCAUUACCAGCUCAUCGUAAACCAAUUGGAUGCAAAUGGGUUUACAAAAUCAAGUAUCGGGCUGAUGGCUCCAUUGAACGGUACAAGGCAAGAUUGGUAGCUAAGGGGUUCACCCAAAGAGAAGGUUUUGACUACCACGAGACGUUCUCACCAGUUGCCAAAGAUGUUACAGUCCGUUCAUUCUUAGCUGUUGCUGCCAUCAAUGACUGGCACCUACACCAGAUGGAUGUCCAUAAUGCUUUUCUCCAUGGCAAUCUAGAUGAAGAGAUCUACAUGAAUAUUCCUCAAGGCAUACAGAGACAGGGGGAUAAUAAGGUGUGUCGUCUCCGUAAAUCCCUUUAUGGAUUAAAACAGGCAUCCGGACAAUGGUAUGCUAAAUUUGCCAGUGCUCUUACAACAGCAGGCUUCAAGCAAUCCAAGCAUGAUUAUGCUCUGUUCUAAAAAACUAAAGGUAUGUCAUCUAUCUAUUUGAUGAUUUAUGUCGAUGACAUACUUGUUAUGGGAAAUGAUAGAGCCUCUAUAGAGAAUUUCAAGGAAUAUUUGCAUGCUACCUUCCAUAUUAAAGACUUAGGAGCACCAAAAUAUUUCCUUGGAAUCGAAGUUGCUCGAUCUGACAAGGGAAUUUCCCUUAGUCAGCGGAAGUUCAUUCUAGAAAUCAUAUCAGAAGUAGGUCUAUUAGGAUGCAAGCUAGCUGUAAUUCCUAUAGAGCAAAACACUAAGUUGACCAUCGCAGACUAUGAUAAGGGAAUAUUUCGAAAUGAUGAUUCCUUACUCAGUGAUCCGUCAGGCUAUCAAAGACUUGUUGGGAAACUUAUAUACCUGACAAUGACUAGACCUGAUAUCUUAUAUGCGGUUCAGACACUUAGCCAGUUUAUGCAUCAACCAAAGCGUUCUCAUUUGGAUGCAGCCUUAAAGGUCGUUAAAUAUCUCAAGAAAUGUCCGGGGCUAGGGAUACUUCUCUCUAAGGAAUGUGACAUGAGGAUGACAGCAUAUUGUGAUGCAGACUAUGCAACAUGUCCGAUUAGUCGAAGAUCUGUUACUGGAUAUUGCAUUAAAUUGGGAGGAUCUCUUCUAUCUUGGAAAACCAAGAAACAAGCUACUGUGUCUCUGUCCUCAGCCGAAGCAGAAUAUCGAGCUGUGGCCAAGGCCACUUGUCAAGUAGUUUGGAUGCGAGGAUUACUCAAGGAUCUUGGAGUAGAAGUGCAAGGACCCACAAGGUUAUAUUGUGAUAAUGAUACAGCUCUUAAACUUGCAACUAAUCCUAUAGUACAUGAAAGAACCAAGCAUAUAGAAGUGGAUUGUCACUUCACACGGGAAAAGAUCCAGGAAGGAGUAAUUGAGACGAGGAAUUUGGACAACGGAGCAACCAGUAGACUUGUUCACCAAGCCCCUAUGUCAGAGGCAACAUGCAUAUCUAUUAAAAAAGCUAGGCGUCUUGGACAUCUACAAGCCACCAGCUUGAGGGGGAGUGUUGGAAGAUAUGUGGAUUGCCUGAUUUGAUUUGAUCUUAAUUGAUCAUGAUUAAUCACGAUCUUCAUGUAUAUGUAAAUUAAAAAUUAGAUCUAGAUCUAGAUUGAUAGUCUAGAUCAUUUACUUCCUUAUUCAAGAUAGAGCUUGUAUUAUAUCUCUGCAGAAUUGUACAUUCAGAUUGUAAUAGUGAUAAUACAGAAAAAUCUCCCCACAUCGAUUCCCAUUUUCCUCUCUAAACUUCAUCCGUUCUUCCUUCACUCUUGCCUUCUUUCAGGGCAUAUCUACUUUGCCGGCCCUCCCAAGCCCAACCCCGACACGAUCGAGCUUGUCCACCACGCCGUUGAAUCUGGCGUUGCCUUCCUCGACACCUCCGACAUCUAUGGCCUUAACGCCAAGGAAGUCCUCCUUGGAAAGGUCGGUAUUUAUUUUGUAGAUAUAAUUGAAGAUCUUGAUCGUGACGCCAAUCCUAAUUGCGGACUAAUUGAUUUGGUCAAUUUGUGAUUGUUUAGUGAAUAUGGAAAUUUUUGUAAUUCUUUAUAUAUUAUUUCAUUUUUUCUCUUUCAUUCUUACACUAUAAAUAGACCAAUGAACUAAUAUACAGAUCAAUCAAUAUACAACAAAAUUUUCUUCAUUUUCUCUUUUGUUUUCUAUUAUGUUAUCAGUGUCAUUCUUCCUCGCCUAGCUUCCCAUAUCUUAGAGUUGCCUUUCUUUUUUUCUUUGUUUUUUUUUUUUUUUUGGUUAUUGCAAGUCCUCAUCCUGCAAUACAAAUCAGCAAAUCGAUUAGGAAUUCAAUUUUUUUUUUCAAUACCAAGGCAAAAAAUAAGAACACUGAGAGCUCCAUGAUAGAGGAGACACCUACCUCACCUCAAAAUCAAGCCCCAUCGCCGUCGGAUUCGAUUAUGAUUUGGGACAAUAUAUUUUAAUCAUUUCGAGAUAAUCUUUAACUGAUCAUGCUCUUCCAGAUACACAGCAAUUGCGCACUUCCAAAUGCUUAUUAUGUCAAGUAACAUGACAAUCUGAUGGCAUGCAACGCAACCAAUUUUGCACUCGUUGAUGUAGAAUUUGGCGUUAAAAGGAAAAUGAUGGUUGCUCGUAUGCUCUCUGCUUAGACAUUGCUUUAUGUUAUGAAGUACCUACCAAGGCUGCGGCCAGAGAACUUGGCUAAUGCAAAGUUAUUCGACCAAGUGAAUGAAAUUGCACAAAGAAAGGGAUGCACCCCAUUGCAGUUAACCCUCGCCUGGGUACACCACUGGAGUGAUGACGUUUGCCCGAUUACCGGCACGAUCAAGAUCGAGAAUUUCAACCAGAACAUUGGAGCUCUGUCAGUGAAGCUUUCGCCAGAAGAGAUGGCCAAGCUCAAAUCGAUUGCUUAUACGGACAAUGUCAGGCGUGAGAAUUAAAACCACAUUUGAUACUAAAUUAUGCCUAGGUAGGAAUUCAAAACUCCACCUCCCGCUUUUCAUGUGGGAAGGUUGGCCCCACCUCGCGCUUAUGGAAAGAGUAAUCACGAAGACAUCACAAUAGUUCAAUUGACGUGAGCAGGUACGUCUUCCCUACAUGGUAAGGGUCGUCACUGGGCGUGCAAUUGACGUAAGCACGUGCGUCUUCACAGCCACUACCGCUCCCCUCCUACUCAUCGUAGCUUCUGCCACUACCCUCCUAUAAAUCUCGGCUCGCCCGACGACUUCGCCAUCGUCUCGGUGCAGUGCAGGGAACGAUCGAGCUCGAGCUAGACUACGGCAAUGGCGGCAUCGACGACGACGGUGAGGAGGAUCAAGCUGGGGUCGCAGGGCCUGGAGGUGUCGGCGCAGGGGCUGGGCUGCAUGAGCAUGUCCGCCUUCUACGGCCCUCCCAAGUCCGAGCCCGACAUGAUCGCCCUCAUCCACCACGCCGUCGGCUCCGGCGUCACCUUCCUCGACACCUCCGACUUCUACGGUCCUCACACCAACGAAAUCCUCCUCGGAAAGGUCGUUCUCUCAGUCUCUCUUUUGCCUCUGCAUGAAUUAUAUAUGCUUAUGGUUUUACGGAACUUAGCUUCAUCGAGCAGGAUGCUCUGAUCCUGCGCCUUGGUUUUCUGAUUUCGGGGUUGAUUUUGAGCAGGCACUGAAGGGAGGGGUGAGGCAGAAGGUGGAAUUGGCGACCAAGUUCGGAAUCAGAUUGGCGGACGGGAAGAGGGAGAUCCAGGGCGAUCCGGCGUACGUGAGGGCUGCUUGCGAGGCCAGCUUGAAGCGGCUCGACAUCGAUUGCAUCGACCUCUACUACCAGCACCGUAUCGACACUCGCGUCCCCAUUGAAGUCACUGUAUGGAUCCCUUAUCAAACUUUCACCUCGCUUGAGACUUUCUCUGAGCCAUACGAUGCAUCGUCAUGUUGUUACAAGUUUGUUGAAUUUUGUUAAAUGACACUUAAGUUCAGCUGAUAGCAGAGUUCAAGAUGCGGCACGGUGUUGUUCAAGGGUUGUGGAAUUUAGUAGUUUAGUGGCUUGAGUUUUCGUUUUGUGGGAAUCUUUUACAAGUUAAGGGUCAACAAGCAUGGAAAUUAUUCGAAAUCUUCCUUUGAGAUGAAAGUGCUCCGGGGUUCAUCCUGAAUUUAUAUACGGGAAUCACAUAUAAAGUUGUUCCUGGACUUUAUACGGAGACAUUUGAUUCUUGACAUAUUGUGAAAUAUGACAAGUACUUGGAAUACUUCUUUUAUUUGCUCUCUUCUGUGAGAGAUUCAAGAAAUCUACCUCCGUUAACUCAAUUCCUUGUGGGUUUUUUGUCGCAUUGAGAUGCAUGAUAAUUGAGGGAUCUAGACACAAAAAGCUAAUGACAAAAAUAAUUUUCUGGAUCUUAACAUGUAAGAUCUUGAUGUUGUUGUUCUGUCAUGUGAAUAUGCACAGAUCGGAGAGCUAAAGAAGCUCGUUGAAGAGGGUAAGAUAAAGUACAUCGGUUUAUCCGAGGCCUCUGCAUCAACAAUCAGAAGAGCACAUGCUGUUCAUCCCAUCACAGCAGUGCAAUUGGAGUGGUCGCUUUGGUCCAGAGAUGUGGAGGCGGACAUCGUUCCAACGUGCAGGUAGGAUAUCACUCCGUUAAUUGUUUAUGCAGCAACAACAGCUUCCUUCUGACUCUGCUUUUCCUUUAAAAUGUUGACUAGGGAGCUUGGCAUUGGAAUUGUUGCCUACAGUCCUUUAGGACGAGGAUUCUUUUCUGUUGGCUCCAAGUUGGCGGAGAAUUUCUCAAAGGAUGACUUCAGACAGGUCUGUUUCUGCUGGUCGACAUAAUUAGAUGCUCACAGUGACUGUCAUUCUCAUUGAAGUGCUGGAAACCUGUUCUUGUGGUAUAAAGAAAAGUUUCUGGAUGGGAUGAAUAAAACUUGGUGACACAAAUGCAUCACGUUCUUAUAUGUCUUCAAUCCAGCACUCGCCAGACAUACUACCUCUCUCGAUUCUAGAUAAAUGUAAAAUCACAAGUAAUGGCUUUAGUGAGCCUGAAAGAGGUAGGUUCCCGGAUUCUCAUUCUUUUGGGAAUGAAUACAUAUAGGUUUAUAUGUAAGUUGCUCUGUUUCCCAGCCUUCCCAACAUUUGCUUAUCACUAUCCUUUCCCCACUUUCCACCCACCCUUUUUCUCUCAUCUUUCUUCACAAGAUUAGCGAUAUUUCCUCGAAAUAACUGACGCCAGUAUCGGGCUCUGGCCUUCCGUCCUUUUUCAUUCUCAUCUUUCUUCACAAGAUAAACUAUAUCUUGACACAACCAUUUCUUGAGUGAGGACUCACGACACCCUUCUUAUGAGAGUUUUGGAUCAAGUUCCCAUCUGACAUAAAGCCAAUUGUGUAUUACUCCCUGCCAUUAGCGUUUGACUAGCGAUAGCGCUGGGCAAGUGAAGUAGCUAUUUUUCUUUGUAGCUAAAAGAGCUCUGCGUCUGAUAACAUUCUUCUACACAUCAUCUACAUUUCUGAUUUUUUAUUUUAUGUGUGACUAAUGGUAUCAUCACACGUACAAAACUUAGAUUGUCGAGUUUGUUUCUGUUUUCACAUCCUACAUCAAGCCCAUCAGCCUUGUGUGGUAGUUGCUAGAUCACUUCGCUUGACGUUUCUAAUGCUUAUGAUUUGGGACAUGAUAUUUUAAUCAUUUCAAGAUUAUUUAUAACUGAUCAUGCUUAUCCAGAUAGACAACGAUUGCACACUUCUAAAUGCUUAUUAUGUCAAGUAACAAGACAAUCUGAUGGCAUGCAAUGCAACCACUUUUGCACUUGUUGCUGUAGAAUUUAGCCUUAAAAGGAAAAUGAUAAUUGCAAUUGCUUUCUGCUGAGACAUUGCUCUAUGUUAUGCAGUAUCAUCCAAGGUUCCAGCCAGAGAACUUGGCUCACAACACGAAGUUAUUUGACCGAGUGAAUGAAAUUGCGCAAAGAAAGGGAUGCACCCCAUCUCAGUUAGCCCUGGCCUGGGUACACCACCAUGGUGACGACAUUUGCCCGAUUCCCGGCACAACCAAGAUCGAGAAUUUCAACCAGAACAUUGGAGCUCUGUCAGUGAAGCUUACACAGGAAGAGAUGGCCGAGCUUGAAUUGAUUGCUUCUGCGGACAAUGUCAAGGGUGGCAGGUAUGAUGGAAGCAUAUCUACAUGGGAAAACUCCGACACUCCACCCCUUUCUUCUUGGAAACCUGCCUAGAAGCGUGUCUGCUUCUGUUGCUGCAUCUUUGAUGUGCAGAGUUUGAGCAUUUGCCGCUGAAGUAAUUUGAGUUGAUGUUGUGUGGCUGUUAUAAGUAUGUGUAAUAAGAGAGUGACUGUUUUCAUUUUGUACAUGUGACAUUCACUAUGAGAAGAUUAUGGAUGUGUACUAACCUUACUGGGGAAAGAUCACUCGAUAAACACGAGAGCGAGUUGAAUAUGAACUGAGCCUGCCUUGUCGACUUUAUGGGGUGACUUUUAGAAUCAAUUGGGAUUUUGAAGAAUUCAAACUCAGUCGUACAUACCGCUGGAAAUAUGGCUUCGAAAUUGGGUAGAACAAUGAAAUCGGAUCGAGUAAAAUAACUCGGACUUUGAGGCGCGAUAUCACUUUCUUUAAGGAUUUAUUUACCCCACAACGUUGCUAAUGGUCACCAGCAAAAAUCCUCCAGGAUACAACAAAGUCUCGGAUGAGAAUACUAGAUAGCAAUUCAAGUAUUUCUCCAGGGUCUCUCUAAGAAACAAUCGAAAAAUUGGAUGCUGUUUUUCAGAAAGGAAUACUCGAAAAUGACACUCUUUUUCUUUCCGAAAAUGAUAGAUAUAUAUAUGAAACAGUCUUGCNNNNNNNNNNNNNNNNNNNNNNNNNNNNNNNNNNNNNNNNNNNNNNNNNNNNNNNNNNNNNNNNNNNNNNNNNNNNNNNNNNNNNNNNNNNNNNNNNNNNUUUUUUUUUUUUAUUUCUUAUUUUUGUUCCAAAGUUGCUCUCACAAUAAAAAAAAAAAAGACCAGAAUAAAAGUAUAAACAAAUGAGUUUCUGUUCUUUUUUGGUUCUCUAGAACAAAAUAAUAAAAAUUUAUAUUUCGGGAAAAAAAAUAAUUUUAAAUGAACACACCCUAAGAUAUCUUUUGUAUUCCGGGGAAGUAGUUCAAUUGACGUGAGCCCGUGCGUCUUCCCUACAUGGGAAGGGUCGUCGCUGGGUCUCAUCUGACCUAAGCAAGCGCGUCUUCACAGCUAUUACCGCUCCCCUCCUACACUUCGUAGCUACCGCCACUCCCCUCCUAUAAAUCUCGGCUCGCCCGACGCCUUCGCCAUCGUCUCGGUGCAGUGCAGGGAACGAGCGAGCUCGAGCUAGACGACGGCAAUGGCGGCUUCGACGACGACGGUGAGGAGGAUCAAGCUGGGGUCGCAGGGCCUCGAGGUGUCGGCGCAGGGGCUGGGCUGCAUGAGCAUGUCCGCCUUCUACGGCCCUCCCAAGUCCGAGCCCGACAUGAUCGCCCUCAUCCACCACGCCGUCGGCUCCGGCGUCACCUUCCUCGACACCUCCGACGUCUACGGUCCUCACACCAACGAAAUCCUCCUCGGAAAGGUCGUUCUCUCAGUCUCUGUUUUGCGUCCGCAUGAAUUAUAUGUGCUUAUAGUGUUACGGAAUUUGGCUUCAUCGAGCAGAGUGCUCUGAUCCCGCGCCUUGGUUUUCUGAUUUCGGGGUUGAUUUUGAGCAGGCACUGAAGGGAGGGGUGAGGCAGAAGGUGGAAUUGGCGACCAAGUUCGGAAUCAGCUUCGCGGACGGGAAGAGGGAGGUCCGGGGCGAUCCGGCGUACGUGAGGGCGGCUUGCGAGGCCAGCUUGAAGCGGCUUGACAUCGAUUGCAUCGACCUCUACUACCAACAUCGCAUCGACACUCGCGUCCCCAUCGAAGUCACUGUAUGGAUCCCCCAUCAAACUUUCACCUCGCUUGAGACUUUCUCCGAGCCAUAUGAUUAGUUGCUAAGUUAGAUUGGUGUUGAUGAUGCAUCGUCAUGUUGUUACAAGUUUGUUGAAAUUUGUUAAAUGACACUUAAGUUCGGCUGAUAGCAGAGUUCAAGAUGCGGCACGUUGUUGUUCAAGGGGUUGUGGAAUUUAGUAGUUUAGUGGCUUGAGUUUUCGUUUUGUGGGCAUCUUUUACAAGUUAAGGGUCAACAAGCAUGAAAAUUAUUCAAAAUCUUCCUUUGAGAUGAAAGUGCUCCAGGGUUCAUCCAGAAUUUAUAUACGGGAAUCACAUAUAAAGUUGUUCCUGGACUUUAUGUGGAGACAUUUGAUUCUUAACAUAUUGUGAAAUAUGUCGAGUACUUGGAAUACUUAUUUUAUUUGCUCUCUUCUGUGAGAGAUUCAAGAAAUCUACCUCCGUUAACUCAAUACCUUGUGACUUUUUUGUCGCAUUGAGAUGCAUGAUAAUAGAGGGAUCUAGACGCAUAAAAAGCUAAUGACAUGCAUAAUUUUCUGGAUCUUAACAUGUAAGAUCUUGAUGUUGUUGUUCUGUCAUGUGAAUAUGCACAGAUCGGAGAGCUAAAGAAGCUCGUUGAAGAAGGUAAGAUAAAGUACAUCGGUUUAUCCGAGGCCUCUGCAUCAACAAUCAGAAGAGCACAUGCUGUUCAUCCCAUCACAGCAGUGCAAUUGGAGUGGUCGCUUUGGUCAAGAGAUGUGGAGGCAGAGAUCGUUCCAACGUGCAGGUAGGAUAUCACUCUGUUAAUUGUUUAUGCAGCAACAACAGCUUCCUUCUGACUCUGCUUUUCCUUUAAAAUGCUGACUAGGGAGCUUGGCAUUGGAAUUGUUGCCUACAGUCCUUUAGGACGAGGAUUCUUUUCUGUUGGCUCCAAGUUGGUGGAGAAUAUCUCUAAGGAUGACUUCAGACAGGUCUGUUCCUGCUUGUCAACAUAAUUAGAUGCUUACAUCAACUGUCAUUCUUAUUGAAGUGCUGGAAACCUGUUCUUGUGGUAUAAAGAAAAAGUAUCUGGAUGGGAUGAAUAAAACUUGGUGACACGAAUGCUUUGUGUUCUUAUAUGUCUUUAAUCCAGCACUUGCCAGACAUCCCACCUCUCUUGAUUCUAGAUAAAUGUAAAAUCACAAGUAAUGGCUUUAAUGAGCCUGAAAGAGGCAGUUUUCUGGAUUCUCGUGCUUUUGGGAAUGAAUACAUAUAGGUUUAUUUGUAAGUUGCUCUGUUUCCCAGCCUUCCCACCAUUUGCUAAUCACUAUCCUCUCCCCACUUUCCACCCACCCUUUUUCUCUCAUCUUUCUUCACAAGAUUAGCGAUAUUUCCUCAAAAUAGCUGACGCCAGUAGCGGGCUUUGGCCCUCCGUCCUUUUUCAUUCUCAUCUUUCUUCACAAGAUAAACUAUAUCUUGACACAACCAUUUCUUGAGUAAGGACUCCUAGCACCCUUCUUAUGAGAGUUUUGGAUCAAGUUCCCAUCUGACAUAAAGCCAAUUGAGUAUUACUCCCCGCCAUUAGCAUUUGACUAGCGAUAGUGCUGGGCAAGUGAAGUAGCUAUUUUUCUUUGUAGCUAAAAGAGCUCUGCGUCUGAUAACAUUCUUCUACACAUCAUCUACAUUUCUGAUAUUUAUUUUAUGUGUGACUAAUGGUAUCAUCACACAUACAAAACUUAGAUUGUCGAGUUUGUUUCUGUUUUCACAUCCUACAUCAAACCCAUCAGCCUUGUGUGGUAGUUUCUAGAUCACUUCGCUUGACGUUUCUAAUGCUUAUGAUUUGGGACAAGAUAUUUUAAUCAUGUCAAGAUAAUUUAUAACUGAUCAUGCUUUUCCAGAUACACAACGAUUGCGCACUUCUAAUGCUUAUUAUGUCAAGUAACAAGACAAUCCGAUGGCAUGCAAUGCAACCACUUUUGCACUCGUUGCUGUAGAAUCUAGCCUUAAAAGGAAAAUGAUAAUUGCUCAUAUGCUCUCUGCUGAGACAUUGCUCUAUGUUAUGCAGUAUCUACCAAGGUUCCGGCCAGAGAACUUGGCUCACAACACGAAGUUAUUUGACCGAGUGAAUGAAAUUGCGCAAAGAAAGGGAUGCACCACAUCGCAGUUAGCCCUGGCCUGGGUAUACCACCAGCGUGAUGAUGUUUGCCCAAUUCCCGGCACGACCAAGAUCGAGAAUUUCAACCAGAACACUGGAGCUAUGUCAGUGAAGCUUACACCGGAAGAGAUGGCCGAGCUUGAAUCGAUUGCUUCUGCGGACAAUGUCAAGGGUGGCAGGUACGAUGGAAGCAUGUCUACAUGGGAAAACUCCGACACUCCACCCCUUUCUUCUUGGAAACCUGCCUAGAAGCGUGUCUGCUUCUGUUGCUGCAUCUUUGAUGUGCAGAGUUUGAGCAUUUGCCGCUGAAGUAAUUUGAGUUUAUGUUAUGUGGCUGUUAUAAGUACGUGUAAUAAGAGAGUGACUGUUUUCAUUUUGUACAUGUGAUAUUCACUAU
rnacentral:lncRNA from 1 species